GAAUAUUUGUCAGGUAGUAGAGUUGGCGCCCCACAAAAAGGUUCUCUAGCCAAAAGAGAUGGGAUGUGGACCCCACUCUCUCUCCUCCAUGUCAUGACACAUAAGAGGAGGUGGGCCCCUUAAGGAUUUGAUGCCCAAAAAUUUUCAAAAAGAAAAGAAUGCUCCAUCCAAUCUUUCAUCUAUUCCACAUACACACAUAGAGAUAAUCAGA
rnacentral:lncRNA from 1 species